rnacentral:rRNA from 1 species
GCAAGUCGAAUCGGAUCUAAUGUUUAAGCUGUGCUUAAGAUUAGUGAGAGUGGCGCACGGGUGCGUAACGCGUGAGCAACCUACCCAUAUCAGGGGGAUAGCCCGGAGAAAUCCGGAUUAACACCGCAUGACACAGCAAUUUCGCAUGAUAAUGCUGUUAAAUAUUUAUAGGAUAUGGAUGGGCUCGCGUGACAUUAGCUAGUUGGUAAGGUAACGGCUUACCAAGGCUACGAUGUCUAGGGGCUCUGAGAGGAGAAUCCCCCACACUGGUACUGAGACACGGACCAGACUCCUACGGGAGGCAGCAGUAAGGAAUAUUGGUCAAUGGAGGGAACUCUGAACCAGCCAUGCCGCGUGCAGGAUGACUGCCCUAUGGGUUGUAAACUGCUUUUAUCCAGGAAUAAACCUUUCUACGUGUAGGGAGCUGAAUGUACUGGAAGAAUAAGGAUCGGCUAACUCCGUGCCAGCAGCCGCGGUAAUACGGAGGAUCCGAGCGUUAUCCGGAUUUAUUGGGUUUAAAGGGUGCGUAGGCGGCUAAUUAAGUCAGUGGUGAAAGACGGCAGCUCAACUGUCGCAGUGCCUUUGAUACUGAUUAGCUUGAAUGUUGUUGAAGAUGGCGGAAUGAGACAAGUAGCGGUGAAAUGCAUAGAUAUGUCUCAGAACUCCGAUUGCGAAGGCAGCUGUCUAAGCAAUGAUUGACGCUGAUGCACGAAAGCGUGGGGAUCAAACAGGAUUAGAUACCCUGGUAGUCCACGCCCUAAACGAUGAUAACUCGAUGUUGGCGAUACACAGUCAGCGUCUUAGCGAAAGCGUUAAGUUAUCCACCUGGGGAGUACGCCCGCAAGGGUGAAACUCAAAGGAAUUGACGGGGGCCCGCACAAGCGGAGGAGCAUGUGGUUUAAUUCGAUGAUACGCGAGGAACCUUACCCGGGCUUGAAAGUUACUGAAGAAUCCAGAGACGGAUUCGUCCUUCGGGACAGGAAACUAGGUGCUGCAUGGCUGUCGUCAGCUCGUGCCGGGAGGGGUUGGUUAAGUCCCGCACGAGCGCACCCCUAUGUUAAUUGCCACAUGUUAAGGGGG